UGGGGAAUAUUGCACAAUGGGCGCAAGCCUGAUGCAGCCAUGCCGCGUGUAUGAAGAAGGCCUUCGGGUUGUAAAGUACUUUCAGCGAGGAGGAAGGCGUUGUGGUUAAUAACCGCAGCGAUUGACGUUACUCGCAGAAGAAGCACCGGCUAACUCCGUGCCAGCAGCCGCGGAAAUACGGAGGGUGCAAGCGUUAAUCGGAAUUACGGGGCGUAAAGCGCACGCAGGCGGUCUGUCAAGUCGGAUGUGAAAUCCCCGGGCUCAACCUGGGAACUGCAUCCGAAACUGGCAGGCUAGAGUCUUGUAGAGGGGGGUAGAAUUCCAGGUGUAGCGGUGAAAUGCGUAGAGAUCUGGAGGAAUACCGGUGGCGAAGGCGGCCCCCUGGACAAAGACUGACGCUCAGGUGCGAAAGCGUGGGGAGCAAACA
rnacentral:rRNA from 1 species